CCCUUAGAUGUUCUGGGCUGCACGCGUGCUACAAUGAAGCGUCCAACAAGAUGCGAAGCCGAAAGGCUCAGCGGAUCUUUGAAGUCGUUUCGUGACCGGGACAGUUGAUUGCAAUUAUUCGACUCGAACGAGGAACUCCUUGUAAUCGCGAUUCAUCAUAUCGCGCUGAAUACGUCCCUGCCCUUUGUACACACCGCCCGUCGCUCCUACCGAUUGAGCGAUCCGGUGAAUUAUUUGGAGUGUCCACGCAAGCCAAUCCGUUUACGUGGGUGCGAAAUUUUGUAAACCUUAUCGCUUAGAGGAAGGAAAAGUCGUAACA
rnacentral:rRNA from 1 species